rnacentral:lncRNA from 1 species
UGAAUUCUCAUUUCCGAUUCCGAUUCCGAAAUAUUCGGAAUCUAAAAACGAGUUCCGAUUCCGAAUUUUCGGAAAUUUUCGGAAAUUCGGAAAUUUCGGAUAUUAUUUGAGAAAGAGAAGAAAAAGAACAAAAAAUUCGAGAACAAAAUAAGAACAAAAAAAUUCCAGCAUGAAUCGAGUGUUAUAAUCCCUCAUGUCUGCAACACAAUCUAGAAUUUCUAUUAUCUUCACAUUACCAGAGCAAAUGUUCAUACAUCACAUGAAUAAUCCCUAAAAUUACAAAAUAUGUUAAAAUUACAAAAGAAAAAAGUAGAAGUUUUCUGUAGGUGGCUAAUUUAUCGAAACAUAACACAAUGGACAGAAAGCUUGAGCACAGGGGCGCCACUGCGGAGAAGGAAGAAGAAAAAAGAGUUGGGUUUGAAAGCAAAGAGAAACUUCAAGAAGCAGCGUCGGUAGAAAAUUGAAACGAAGAAAAAAU